AUUUUCUUUCUUGUUUAUCCAAGAUUACCUGGCUGGUGUUUGCUUGUUCUGGAGUGAUCUUCUGACUGGAAAAGAACUAUGUCAUGGAUCAAGGAAGGAGAGCUGUCACUUUGGGAGCGGUUCUGUGCCAACAUCAUAAAGGCAGGCCCAAUGCCGAAACACAUUGCAUUCAUAAUGGACGGGAACCGUCGCUAUGCCAAGAAGUGCCAGGUGGAGCGGCAGGAAGGCCACUCACAGGGCUUCAACAAGCUAGCUGAGGUGGGUGUGUAUGGCAGAGCCCAAAGUGAACAGUCUGUGGAGAGGUAGAUUAUAGCUAGAAAACCAGGCUCUGAGUUUGCUGUGGUUGGAGAGUGUUUUUUGUAUCUGUCUCUGUGUUUUAUUGUUUGCUUGCUAGCUAUAGAUCUCAUCUUGACAUUGGCCAGACGUGGUUGCUUUUGCCUCUAAUCCCACACUUUGGGAGGCCAAGGCAGGAGGAUUGCUUGAGCCCAGGGGUUCAGGACUAGCCCGGGUAACAUAGUCAGACCCUGUCUCUACAAAAAAAUUUAAAAAUUAGCCAGACUUGAUGGUGCACACCUGUGCCCCCAGCUACUCAGGAGGCUGAGGUGGGAGGACUAUCUGAGCCCAGGAAGCUUGAGGCUGCAGUGAAUAGAGAUUGUGCCCCUGUACUCUAGCCUGGGUGACAGAGUGACACCAUCUCAAG
rnacentral:lncRNA from 1 species